rnacentral:rRNA from 1 species
UACGUAGGGGGCAAGCGUUGUCCGGAUUUAUUGGGCGUAAAGAGCGUGUAGGCGGCCAGGGAGGUCCGUUGUGAAAACUCGAGGCUCAACCUCGAGACGCCGAUGGAAACCCCCUGGCUAGAGUCCGGAAGAGGAGAAUGGAAUUCCUGGUGUAGCGGUGAAAUGCGCAGAUAUCAGGAAGAACACCCGUGGCUAAGGCGGUUCUCUAGUACGGUACUGACGCUGAGACGCGAAAGCGUGGGGGAGCGAACAGG